rnacentral:rRNA from 1 species
GAUGAACGCUGGCGGCGUGCCUAAUACAUGCAAGUCGAGCGAACAGACGAGGAGCUUGCUCCUCUGACGUUAGCGGCGGACGGGUGAGUAACACGUGGAUAACCUACCUAUAAGACUGGGAUAACUUCGGGAAACCGGAGCUAAUACCGGAUCAUAUAUUGAACCGCAUGGUUCAAUAGUGAAAGACGGUUUUGCUGUCACUUAUCGAUGGAUCCGCGCCGCAUUAGCUAGUUGGUAAGGUAACGGCUUACCAAGGCAACGAUGCGUAGCCGACCUGAGAGGGUGAUCGGCCACACUGGAACUGAGACACGGUCCAGACUCCUACGGGAGGCAGCAGUAGGGAAUCUUCCGCAAUGGGCGAAAGCCUGACGGAGCAACGCCGCGUGAGUGAUGAAGGUCUUCGGAUCGUAAAACUCUGUUAUUAGGGAAGAACAAAUGUGUAAGUAACUAUGCACGUCUUGACGGUACCUAAGCAGAAAGCCACGGCUAACUACGUG